AUUGAACGCUGGCGGCAUGCUUUACACAUGCAAGUCGAACGGCAGCACAGCAGAGGUAACUCUGUGGGUGGCGAGUGGCGAACGGGUGAGUAAUACAUCGGAACGUACCCUGUUGUGGGGGAUAACUACGCGAAAGCGUAGCUAAAUACCGCAUACGCCCUGAGGGGGAAAGCGGGGGACCCUAAAUAGAGCGCACUGGGGAGUGCGUUGUAUUUAGGGCCUCGCGCAAUAGGAGCGGCCGAUGUCGGAUUAGCUAGUUGGUGAGGUAAAGGCUUACCAAGGCGACGAUCCGUAGCUGGGUCUGAGAGGAUGAUCAGCCACACUGGGACUGAGACACGGCCCAGACUCCUACGGGAGGCAGCAGUGGGGAAUUUUGGACAAUGGGGGCAACCCUGAUCCAGCCAUGCCGCGUGAGU
rnacentral:rRNA from 1 species